rnacentral:rRNA from 1 species
AGUGAACGCUGGCGGCAGGCCUAAUACAUGCAAGUCGAACGGCAGCACAGCAGAGCUUGCUCUGUGGGUGGCGAGUGGCGGACGGGUGAGGAAUACAUGGGAAUCUGCCCAGUCGUGGGGGAUAACGUAGGGAAACUUACGCUAAUACCGCAUGCGCCCUUCGGGGGAAAGCCGGGGACCUUCGGGCCUGGCGCGAUUGGAUGAGCCCAUGUCGGAUUAGCUAGUUGGCGGGGUAAUGGCCCACCAAGGCGACGAUCCGUAGCUGGUCUGAGAGGAUGAUCAGCCACACUGGAACUGAGACACGGUCCAGACUCCUACGGGAGGCAGCAGUAGGGAAUAUUGGACAAUGGGCGCAAGCCUGAUCCAGCCAUGCCGCGUGAGUGAAGAAGGCCCUCGGGUUGUAAAGCUCUUUUGUCCGGAAAGAAAAGCGCCGGGUUAAUACCCUAGUGUCCUGACGGUACCGGAAGAAUAAGCACCGGCUAACUCGUGCCAGCAG